GGGCGCGAGAUAACUCUCUCUAAGGAACUCGGCAAAAUGACUCCGUAACUUCGGGAGAAGGAGUGCCUUAUUUUAUAAGGUUGCAAUAACAGGAUCCAAGCAACUGUUUACCAAAAACACAGGUCUCCGCUAAGUCGUAAGACGAUGUAUGGGGGCUGACGCCUGCCCAGUGCCAGAAGGUUAAAGAAGUUGGUUAGCAUUUGCGUAGCUGGUAACUGAAGCCCUGGUGAACGGCGGCCGUAACAAUAACGGUCCUAAGGCAGCGAAAUUCCUUGUCGGGUAAGUUCCGACCCGCACGAAAGGCGUAAUGAUUUGGAUACUGUCUCAGAGAGGGGCUCGGUGAAAUAGACUUGUCUGUGAAGAUGCGGACUACCUGCACCAGGACAGAAAGACCCUAUGAAGCUUUACUGUAACUUGAAAUUGAAAUUGGACUUUACUUGCGCAGUAUAGGUGGGAGGCGUUGAGUUUAUUCUUGCGGGAAUUUAGGAGCCAUCAGUGAGAUACCACUCUGGUAAUGUUAGAUUUCUAACUUUGUAUCAUAAUCUGGUCAAAGGACAGUUUCAGGCGGGCAGUUUGACUGGGGCGGUCGCCUCCUAAAUGGUAACGGAGGCGUACAAAGGUUUCCUCUGAACGUGUAGAAAUCGUAUCUAGAGUAUAAAGGCAUAAGGAAGCUUGACUGUGAGACUUACAAGUCGAGCAGGGACGAAAGUCGGUCUUAGUGAUCUGACGGUGCUGAGUGGAAAGGCCGUCACUCAACGGAUAAAAGUUACUCUAAGGAUAACAGGCUGAUCUCCCCCAAGAGUUCACAUCGACGGGGAGGUUUGGCACCUCGAUGUCGGCUCAUCGCAUCCUGGGGCGGUAGUACGUCCCAAGGGUUGGGCUGUUCGCCCAUGAAAGCGGUACGCGAGCUGGGUUCAGAACGUCGUGAGACAGUUCGGUCCAUAUCCGGUGUAGGCGUUAGAAUAUUGAGAGGAGCCUUCUUUAGUACGAGAGGACCGAGAAGGACAUACCUCUGGUGUACCAGUUAUCGUGCCAACGGUAAACGCUGGGUAGCUAUGUAUGGAGAGGAUAACCGCUGAAAGCAUCUAAGUGGGAAGCCCACCUCAAGAUAAGUAUUCUCAUCACGUAAGUGAGUAAGGUCACGGUAAGACUAACCGUUUGAUAGGCAUUAAGUAAAACUGUAGCAAUAUAGGAGCUGAGAUGUCCUAACAGACCGAGGAC
rnacentral:rRNA from 1 species